UACGGGGGGGGUAAGCGUUGUUCGGAAUUACUGGGCGUAAAGCGCACGUAGGCGGCUCUUUAAGUCGGGGGUGAAAUCCUGGAGCUCAACUCCAGAACUGCCUUCGAUACUGAAGAGCUUGAGUCCGGGAGAGGUGAGUGGAACUGCGAGUGUAGAGGUGAAAUUCGUAGAUAUUCGCAAGAACACCAGUGGCGAAGGCGGCUCACUGGCCCGGUACUGACGCUGAGGUGCGAAAGCGUGGGGAGCAAACAGG
rnacentral:rRNA from 1 species